UGCUUGCUCUUCCUGGGAGGUGAAGGCAAGUGGCCCUAGAUGCAGGCCUUCUUCCUCAGAAAAGCUGAGGACACCACUGCAGUGGGGGUAGGUCUAGGAGGCAGCCAGGAGCCAGGGCUUCCAUGACACAGGCCCAGCUAUGCUCUUACAAGGUUGUGGAAUCUGGUAAAAAUGUUCCUGAAUUGUUCUGGAUGUCUGCUUGGCUUGUUUUUCUACAUACCUUUGUCACUGACGGAGCUUUUAAUAUUUCUAACAUCAUUUGAUUAUAUUUUGUG
rfam:Carollia perspicillata clone 29G20, complete sequence.